rnacentral:rRNA from 1 species
GAAGAACGCGGGCGGCGUGCUUAACACAUGCAAGUCGAACGGAAAGGCCCUGCUUGCAGGGUACUCGAGUGGCGAACGGGUGAGUAACACGUGGGUGAUCUGCCCUGCACUUCGGGAUAAGCCUGGGAAACUGGGUCUAAUACCGGAUAGGAGCCAUUUUUAGUGUGAUGGUUGGAAAGUUUUUUCGGUGUAGGAUGAGCUCGCGGCCUAUCAGCUUGUUGGUGGGGUAAUGGCCUACCAAGGCGGCGACGGGUAGCCGGCCUGAGAGGGUGGACGGCCACAUUGGGACUGAGAUACGGCCCAGACUCCUACGUGAGGCAGCAGUUGAGAAUAUUGCACGGUGGGCGCAAGCCUGAUGCAGCGACGCCGCGUGGGGGAUGACGGCCUUCGGGUUGUAAACUCCUUUCGCUAGGGACGAAGCUUUUUGUGACGGUACCUAGAUAAGAAGCACCGGCUAACUACGUG